UUCAGGUCAUGUAAAGUUUGAAACGGGCGCAGUUCCUUUGGUGAACUGAACUGGACCUAGUCCAUAUAAGAUAAUCCAAUUCAUUCUAAACUUUGUCUUUAGUUCAUAUUCGACUUGAUGCAAUAAAUGCUUUGCGGGUUCACCGCAUGGUAAGAAACUGCACAGUUUUUCAUAUUUAUGUUUAGUUUCAUUACGUUUAGAGAAAAAUGCUGGUUUCACCUGUUGAUAAAUAUCAUUAAAAUCAAAAGUUUUUUUGGGCGUUGUAAAGAUGACAUCAUGCCGUUCAGCAAGUUACAAUUGCAGUGGGGACCAUAUCUUGUUGUUAACAGUGUGAGAAUAUAAAAUAGAUUAAUUUAUGGAACUUGUAAUGUCUAAUGUUGACAAUAUCGGAGAACGGCUAUCAUUUGACGCUAUUAUUAUGACAUAUAUUAUAAAAAAGUAUAAAUACUUAAUAUUGUUUCCUGUCUGCAUGAUAUGAAAAUAGUGUUUACAUCGAAUUAACUGUCUGUAAACUCUUUUUGACAUAACAAAUAAUAAAACACUAUAUUACUUUAAA